GACGGGGGGGGCAAGUGUUCUUCGGAAUGACUGGGCGUAAAGGGCUCGUAGGCGGUUUGUCGCGUCGGGAGUGAAAUCCACUGGCUUAACUGGUGGCUUGCUUUCGAUACGGGCAGACUGGAGGUAUGCAGGGGAGAACGGAAUUCCUGGUGUAGCGGUGAAAUGCGCAGAUAUCAGGAGGAACACCGGUGGCGAAGGCGGUUCUCUGGGCAUGUCCUGACGCUGAGGAGCGAAAGUGUGGGGAGCGAACAGG
rnacentral:rRNA from 1 species